UACGAAGGGGGCUAGCGUUGCUCGGAAUGACUGGGCGUAAAGCGCGUGUAGGCGGCUUUGCAAGUCGGGUGUGAAAGCCCUCAGCUUAACUGAGGAAGUGCGCCCGAAACUGCUUAGCUUGAGUGCCGGAGAGGAUGGCGGAAUUCCCCAAGUAGAGGUGAAAUUCGUAGAUAUGGGGAGGAACACCGGUGGCGAAGGCGGCCAUCUGGACGGUAACUGACGCUGAGACGCGAAAGCGUGGGUAGCAAACAGG
rnacentral:rRNA from 1 species